CGACCCAGCGCAAGCUGCUUUGGGAGAUCCCGCUUGGGAUUCCUUAAAAUCAUCGGCGGCAGCAGCGAGCCAAACGCAGCAGAUUGCGCGCACCUCGCGGCCGUCGCCGUAAAACCGCUGCCUAGCAGCUCACA
rnacentral:misc_RNA from 1 species